rnacentral:rRNA from 1 species
GGAAUUUUGGGCAAUGGGCGAAAGCCUGACCCAGCAACGCCGCGUGAAGGAUGAAAUCCCCCGGGAUGUAAACUUCGCAAGAACGGGAAGAAUAAGUUUGUGCUAAUACCACAAGCGCUGACGGUACUGUUCGUAAGCUCCGGCUAACUCCGUGACAGCAGCCGCGGUAAUACGGGGGGAGCAAGCGUUGUUCGGGUUUACUGGGCGUAAAGGGCGCGUAGGCGGCCUCCGCAAGUCAGUUGUGAAAUCUCCGAGCUUAACUCGGAAAGGUCAACUGAUACUGCGGGGCUAGAGUGCGGAAGGGGCAACUGGAAUUCUUGGUGUAGCGGUGAAAUGCGUAGAUAUCAAGAGGAACACCUGCGGCGAAGGCGGGUUGCUGGGCCGACACUGACGCUGAGGCGCGAAAGCUAGGGGAGCGA